GCAAGAGUGGCCUAGUGGAUAAGGUGAUUGACUGGAGAUCAAAAGGUUGCAGGUUUGAACCACUGGGAGAUGAA